rnacentral:rRNA from 1 species
UACGUAGGGUCCGAGCGUUGUCCGGAAUUACUGGGCGUAAAGAGCUCGUAGGCGCCUGGCAAGUGGAAGGUGAAAUCCCUCGGCUUAACCGAGGAACUGCCUUCCAAACUGCUUGGCUUGAGUCCGGGAGAGGUGAGUGGAAUUCCCAGUGUAGCGGUGAAAUGCGUAGAUAUUGGGAGGAACACCAGUGGCGAAGGCGGCUCACUGGACCGGAACUGACGCUGAUGCGCGAAAGCGUGGGGAGCAAACGGG